CAGCCAGUAGCUCAUCUGGAUAGAGCAAUGUCCUUCUAAGACAUGGGUAGGGGGUUCGAGUCCCUCCUGGCUGGCCA
rnacentral:tRNA from 2 species